AAAGAUUAAGCCAUGCAUGUACAAGUAUAAACGCAUUGAAGCGUGAAACCGCGAACGGCUCAUUACAACAGCUAUAAUUUACUUGAUCUUGACCAAACCUAUUUGGAUAACUGUGGUAACUCUAGAGCUAAUACAUGCACCAAAGCUCCGACCCGUGAGGGAAGAGCGCAUUUAUUAGACUCAAAACCAUACGGCUUCGGCCGUCCAUUGUUGACUCAGAAUAACUAAGCUGAUCGCACGGUCUUGCACCGGCGACGUGUCUUUCAAGUAUCUGCCUUAUCAACUUUCGAUGGUAGCAUCAUCGGCUACCAUGGUGGUGACGGGUAACGGAGGAUCAGGGUUCGACUCCGGAGAAGGGGCCUGAGAAAUGGCCACUACGUCUAAGGAUGGCAGCAGGCGCGCAAAUUACCCACUCUCAGAAUUCAGAGGAGGUAGUGACGAGAAAUAACGAGGCAGUUCUCUUCAGAGGCCUGCCAUCGGAAUGGGUACAAUUUAAACCCUUUUAACGAGUAUCUAUGAGAGGGCAAGUCUGGUGCCAGCAGCCGCGGUAAUUCCAGCUCUCAAAAUGCAUAGAAUUAUUGCUGCGGUUAAAAAGCUCGUAGUUGGAUCUGUGCCGGUGUGCCGGUCCGUCUUCGGACGUGUACUGGUCUCAGCACUGGCUUUCCUGCAGUGUUCGGCUUUGGGUCCUUAACUGGUACACAAAUGUCCGGUGCUGCAAGUUUACUUUGAACAAAUCAGAGUGCUCUAAACAGGCGUUUCGCUUGAAUGUUUUUGCAUGGAAUAAUAGAAGAGGAUUUUGGUCUCAAUUUUAUUGGUUUUAUAGACUGAGAUAAUGGUUAACAGAGACAAACGGGGGCAUUUGUAUGGCAACGUGAGAGGUGAAAUUCUUGGACCGUUGCCAGACAGACUACAGCGAAAGCAUUUGCCAAGAAUG
rnacentral:rRNA from 1 species